GGAAAGAAUAUGAAGUUACACUUACAAGGAUGCUGGGGGGCGGGUUGGCAGAUUAGGCCUAGAUGGGCCAGGGGUGGCUGAUAGAAUACUGUGAGGCUGAACCUGGGCUCUCCACUAUCACCAAGAACUUGACUUACUGCCCAGUUAGGAGGUGGCAAAUGAGCACUUUCCCAGAGGCCUUCAUGCUAGGACCCAAUCACUGGAAGAAAGGGUGCUGCCUUAUCCCAAGAACUGGCAGAUGGUAGUUUAUUGGGGGAAUAGAGGAGACAGGAUCCAAGGUCCAUGAGUUGUAUCUUACUGCUUUGGGGACCUCACUGAACUAUGUCCCAGUUUCAUGCUUCCUUAAGCUUCAAGUUGUUACCAACCCACGAUACUUCCCUUUAUUCUAGAUUUUAAUAUUUUUGCCCAAUUAGAAACAUCCUACUCCAGCCUCAAUCACACGAAGAGGAAGUCUAGCUUCCCAUUUCUAUAUUCUCAAGCAGUUUCUUUCAUGGUUAGAACACCCAGCUUUAUUGAAAACCCCCAAAAAGGGGGGGGGGGAUAAGGCAACAAUUUUGGCCUUGCUUCUAGGGGUAUAUAGGGGAUUUUUAUAAAUCAUCUGUGGCUUAAAAUUUAGUCUUACGUACCUUCCAUACUCAUCAACUUUCUCAAUUUUUCAAUAGGGAUGAACUAUAUUCCUAGCUUAUCUCCCAAGGGGGAUGCCUCACAGCCUGGUCCUCACCUGCCUGUAAUCAGCGGGACACUGAUCCAGUCAUGCCCACA
rnacentral:lncRNA from 1 species